UACAGAGGGUGCAAGCGUUGUUCGGAAUUAUUGGGCGUAAAGCGUCCGCAGGUGGCACUUCAAGUCUGUCGUCAAAGACCGGGGCUUAACCCUGGAAAGGCGAUGGAAACUGAAAGGCUAGAGAGAGGUAGGGGUAGAGGGAAUUCCCAGUGUAGCGGUGGAAUGCGUAGAGAUCCGGAAGAACACCGGUGGCGAAGGCGGCCUGCUGGGCCGUACCUGACGCUAAAGCGCGACAGCAUGGGGAGCAAACGGG
rnacentral:rRNA from 1 species